rnacentral:rRNA from 1 species
UUGCAUAUCAAUAAGCGGAGGAAAAGAAACCAACAGGGAUUGCCCUAGUAACGGCGAGUGAAGCGGCAACAGCUCAAAUUUGAAAUCUGGCUUCGGCCCGAGUUGUAAUUUGCAGAGGAAGCUUUAGGCGCGGCACCUCCUGAGUCCCCUGGAACGGGGCGCCACAGAGGGUGAGAGCCCCGUAUAGUUGGAUGCCUAGCCUGUGUAAAGCUCCUUCGACGAGUCGAGUAGUUUGGGAAUGCUGCUCAAAAUGGGAGGUAAAUUUCUUCUAAAGCUAAAUACCGGCCAGAGACCGAUAGCGCACAAGUAGAGUGAUCGAAAGAUGAAAAGCACUUUGAAAAGAGGGUUAAAUAGCACGUGAAAUUGUUGAAAGGGAAGCGCUUGUGACCAGACUUGCGCCGGGCUGAUCAUCCGGUGUUCUCACCGGUGCACUCUGCCCGGCUCAGGCCAGCAUCGGUUCUCGCGGGGGGAUAAAGGCCCUGGGAACGUAGCUCCUCCGGGAGUGUUAUAGCCCGGGGCGUAAUGCCCUCGCGGGGACCGAGGUUCGCGCUCUGCAAGGAUGCUGGCGUAAUGGUCAUCAGCGACCCGUCUUGAAACACGGAC